rnacentral:lncRNA from 1 species
AUGAAUUAUGAUGGCAAUAAGCAAAGAUGCGCACCUCUAGCCUCCAGGGAGCUUAAUCUUCUGCUACAACGUUUGCAUUUAGACAGGGUGUCUCUCUGCUGCUCAGGCUGGAGCGCAGUGGUGCGAUCACAGCUCACUGUAGCCUCGACUUCCUGGGCUCCAGUGACCCUCUCGCCUGAAACCGUACUCCCCCUCAAGCAGCUGAGACUACAGGCAGUGUUUAAGAAGGAUCCAGAAAUACUUCAAGCGAUGCCAGUGGUAGUGUUGCCUCCUCAGAAGACUGCUUUCAGGGGAACAGUAUACAUCUGCCCUAUAAAUUCUGGAUGUUGCUUCAGACGGUUCAGCUUCCAGCCAGACAGUUCCUAAUGGACCUGCACAGCAUGCAAAAAAACCCUUCUUUGUAAAAAUAACUCCUUUGAUUUCUCCCAGCCUUGGGCCCUGUUUAGUUAGGGGCCAUGACCAGGAGGCAAGUCGUUCCGGGCCUUGCUGGUAGAGUAAGGGGGAGAUCGCCCAUGGCUUCCCCAGCUGCACUGCCUGUGGAGCAAAGGGUUCAGAAGCAGAGAAUUUUUAAAAAUAUAAUAAUAAUAAAAAGAAUGAAAGAAAGAAGCCCUCUUUGAAAAUCCUUACUGUUUCCCACUAUCUCCUACAGCGAUUGCCCUUUCAUUAGUGUGGAAAUCCAACAAUGUGGAAAUCGAGUUUUGGUUUUUUUUUUUUUUGCUUUGAUAUCAGCCUAACCCUUGAGGCUAAACUUGUGGUAAGCCACCUGUCCACGUUAGCUAAAAUAAAGUUGUAGCUGGAAUCACCACCUAGUCCUUUAGCUGUUGUACAUUUUCAUGUUUAUCCUUUGAGGCCUGAGACAAUAACCACAUAUUGCUUUAUUAUUCAGGAUCCCCUGGGUUGCUGGCAACCGAAACCCAAAUUGAAUUUGUUUAAGAAUAAGGGAGGAAUGUAUUGGGAGAAUAUUGGGAUAUUUUAAGUAACUGAAGGAGGGGUCAAGAGGUCAAUCUAUGAGAAAGACAAGGAACCAGGCAGAAAUUUAACAAUAAAAUGAAAUAAAACCGGAACCAGGACUCCCAAGUGCCCCCUGGAUUCCUUCUCUCUCUGUCUGCAGCUCUAUCCCUCCUGGUAUCCAGGGCUUUCUCUCUCAUUGUAGAUCUGAGUCUCACAUACUGUGGGUUAAAACACCAAAGAGGGGCUGAUUUUAUUUCUUUUUUUCUUUUCUUUUCUCUUUUUUUUUGAGAUGGAGUCUUGCUCUGUCGCCCAGGCUGGAGGGCAGUGGCGCCAUCUCGGCUCACUGCAAGCUCCGCCUCCCAGGUUCACGCCAUUCUCCUGCCUCAGCCUCCCGAGUAGCUGGGACUGCAGGCGCCCAUCACCACCAUUCUCCUGCCUCAGCCUCCUGAGUAGCUGGGACUACAGGCGCCCACCACCACGCCCCGCUAGUUUUUUGUAUUUUUAGUAGACAUGGGGUUUCACCGUGUUGGCCAGGACGGUCUCGAUCUCCUGACCUUGUGAUCCACCCGCCUCGGCCUCCCAAAGCGCUGGGAUUACAGGCGUGAGCCACCGCGCCCGGCCCUGAUUUUGUUUCUUAAUUCUAGAUAGAAAAGUCUUGGGGAAGGCUCUGACUGUGUGGGCCCCAGCCGGGUCCAGGCAACUCUAGUUUGGCGGAGGCGGGGUCAUAUAUGAACAUGGCCACACUUCCCCCAUCCCGUGAACCACUUGUUUAUAGGGCGGAAAGGAGCAAUUCCAGAAAGGGGGCUUCUUUCUUGGAAGGAUGGGUUCUAAUCAAAGCAAGCAGCAGCCAUUUACUAAACAUACAUAACGUACUUGCAUAUUGACCUGAGAAAUGUUUCUUAGGGAUUUUGGCCAUCUUGGUAAUAAUCAGAGUCUUGGUAAAAGUCAGAAAUCAAAACCCUAAUCAGAUGCAUCUACAUGGCAAAAACUAUAAGAUUCUUUUGGUUUGUUUUUAACUCAAAACUCCAAAGAGGACAGAAUAUACUGAGAAUGACUGGACCCAUGCUCUAAAGCAAACUAAAUACAUAGCGGUUACACUCGUAUUUAUAUGUACCAUAGUGCACGGGACUUCAGUGAGUUCUUAUAUUCACCUCUAGUUUCUCCUCCCUACGGAAGCAGUGACCACAGCAGACUGAAGCAGCUAAGGGGGUUUUCUAGACUUACUUGGAUUGAAUUCUCUUUUGCAUGCUCACUGUUGUUUUUUUCUUGCUUGAUUUGGUUUGAGCUGAGAUGUCCACUCUUUAGGGGAGGACUGUUAUUUUGGAGACUUGCCUCCGUCCAGCUAGCUCACUGGACAGGCUGUGCUCACUGUGGCCUCCUGACCUGGAUGAGUUGGUCAGCACGCUCCAAGGGGUCCUGUCUCUUUCUGCAUGGGUGGCUGUCUCUGCAAGAGCCGUGAUGGUGGGUAAAAUGUUCAAAGCCCCAUAGGCAGGAUGAAAUGCACCAUUGUCUAUUUACUUAACUCGGUGGUGUCUGACGUAAGACCACAGAACACACCUUCUUUCCAUGACCCAUCUUGCCUGACCCUACCUGCUGGCAGUAUGUUGCCAGCAACCUGGAUAUUAUUGUUAAUUAAUUCAUGCCUAACAUGCAGUGGCUUAUACUUGGUAUUACUGACUAUCUAAGAAUAGGCACAGCCUGGAAUUGAGAAGUGAAAACUGCAAAAUGGCUGGGUGGAAAAAAUGAUGGGACAUAGAGCAGGCCUUUUGGUGUUUUCCCUGUAGUUAUCUUUUACAGGUUAAAUAAGAUUAAUAUUCAUGGUGAACCAAGAGCAAUUAGCUACUUUGCAUGUGUUACUGCUUCUUAGCCUAUUCUAAACUCUGUUUUAUGUAUUUAUUUUAAAGGACUUUGCCUUGAUUAGGGCCAAUCGUAUAAGACCUUGUACUUUGCAUAUUUGCAAUCAUGUUUGCAUGUUUGCAUUUCUAAAGUUUUGAAUUUCAAAUCAGGCAACGAGUUUCAGCAAAUAUACUUCAGGUACACAUGACCAUAAUCAGGACAUGAGACUAUACUACAAUAAAAUCCCCAAAUGGCCUCUAGGGAUAAAAUAUUUUAUGUUUUCUAUUUAUAAUAAAAAUUUGGGGUGAGGGUUGGCUUUAUUUUAAAAACAGAAUAAUUCAGAAUAUAAUUUAAAUGCAAAAUUGCAAACUACUAUUUUUUCUAAUUAUAUUCAAAAUCUGAACCCCCUGACAGGAGCAAGGGAAGGUUGGAAUAUUCUUAUCCAUGAUGAUGACAGAAUAACAGGCCUUUCCCCUUUUCUUUCCUCUUCUUCCCUGGGACCGCAGUGCCCGCUGUCACGCACCUAUCACUUACGCUCAUACUGUUUUCCAGGAUACUUGGCCAAGGCAUCUUCUAACAUGUUCUAAGAUGAUUUCAGAAAUAAUUUUUAUCAGAUCAUAGCUAAUCUUUCUAACACAUCUAUGAGGUAAACAUCCCAGGCCCACUCGCUAUAAAUGUUAGUGCUCCGAUUUUUAUCCAGAUUUUUUUGACUUUUAAUCAAGGACCUUUUUCACUUCAUUUAUAUUUCUCAAAUUGAGAGCUGAAGAUCCUUGAAAGUCUUCAGUCAUAUUCUCAAGGGGCCUUGAGUUCUCUAUGAGAAUUCAAUUUUGUAUUUUCAUUUUGAUGCUAAUAAUCAGGGAAGAUCAACAUAUUUUGGUUCAUUUGGCUGAUCAACUUAACGGAGAGCUUCCACAUACUUUCGGGGCCUGCAUUUUUAUCUGUGUUUAAGAUUUUCUUGGUGACAGGGAAUGACAGUUUCUUUGUCAGAAAAAUCAUUGUAAAUGAUUAAAAAAAAAAAAAAAACACACAGACAUGUGAAUGUUGUGUUCUCACCAAGUGAAGGCCCAAUGACCUCAUCACAGGAUGUACAAAGGAAGGUUCUGCGUAACGUAAAUAGAGACAAGCAGUGGAAGCAUUGAGUCACUGCGAAGCAUGAGGCCAGCGGGCUGAACUCAGGAGAGCCUGGGCAGGGAGCACCACUUUCACGCUGUUGAGGGGAGUGAGCAUUCUGUAUUUGUUCCAUUAAAUUAAAAGUAUUCAUUUGAAUUGUAUGACUUUCCUACAUUUGUUGACCUAUAAGUUUGUUUUGGUUUUACUGUGGCAUGAUGUCUAUACGCAAACAUUCUUUAUAUCUAGUUUUAAGUUUACAUAUAUUAUAAUGUUUUAAUAAAAAUCACUUA